rnacentral:rRNA from 1 species
ACCCACUGCUAUCACUACUCUCGUUGCUUUGGCGGGCCGCUGGGCCCUGCCCGGCCGCCGGCCCCGGCUGGCGCGUGCCCGCCAGAGACCUCACAGACUCUGAAUGUUAGUGUCGUCCGAGUAACUAUACAAUCGUUAAAACUUUCAACAACGGAUCUCUUGGUUCUGGCAUCGAUGAAGAACGCAGCGAAAUGCGAUAAGUAAUGCGAAUUGCAGAAUUCAGUGAGUCAUCGAAUCUUUGAACGCACAUUGCGCCCUGUGGUAUUCCGCAGGGCAUGCCUGUUCGAGCGUCAUUUCAACCCUCAAGCCUCGCUUGGUGUUGGGCCCUGCCCGCCGCGGCCGGCCCUAAAGAUAGUGGCGGCGCCGCCUGGCCCUCAGCGUAGUACAGCUCUCGCUCCAGGGUCCGGCGGCAGCCUGCCAGAACCCCCCAACUCUGUGGUUGACCUCGGAUCAGGUAGGGAUACCCGCUGAACUUAAGCAUAUCAAUAAGNCGGAG